rnacentral:rRNA from 1 species
CGCCUAAAGGUGUAUCAUACAUGUUUGAUAUACGCCUAAGGAUGGGGCUGCGGCCGAUCAGGCUGUUGGUGAGGUAAUGGCUCACCAAACCUUUGACCGGUACGGGCCAUGAGAGUGGUAGCCCGGAGAUGGACACUGAGACAAGGGUCCAGGCCCUAAGGGGCGCAGCAACCGCGAAACCUCCACAAUGCACUCACGUGCGAUGGGGCUAUCUCGAGUGCCACCUGAUGAAGGUGGCUUUUCCUAGGUCUUCAAAGCCUUGGGAAUAAGAGGGGGGCAAGACUGGUGUCAGCCGCCGCGGUAACACCAGCCCCUCGAGUGGUGGGGAUGAUUAUUUGGCCUAAAGCGUCCGUAGCCGGCCGAGCAAGUCUUCCGUUAAAUCCAGCGUCUCAAGCGUUGGACUGCGGGAGAUACUACACGGCUAGAGAGUGGGAGAGGUCAGCGGUAUUCUGGGGGUAGGGGCGAAAUCCUUUGAUCCCCGGAGGACCACCAGUGGCGAAGGCUGCUGACUAGAACACGUCUGACGGUCAGGGACGAAAGCUGGGGUAGCGAACCGGAUUAGAUACCCGGGUAGUCCCAGCCGUAAACGAUGCAUGCUAGGUGUUGGGUUGGCCACGAGCCACCCCAGUGCCGCAGGGAAGCCGUUAAGCAUGCCGCCUGGGAAGUACGAUCGCAAGAUUGAAACUUAAAGGAAUUGGCGGGGGAGCACCACCAGGCGUGAAGCCUGCGGUUUAAUUGGAGUCAACGCCGGA